GAUGAAGAACGCAGCGAAAUGCGAUAAGUAAUGUGAAUUGCAGAAUUCAGUGAAUCAUCGAAUCUUUGAACGCACCUUGCGCUCCUUGGUAUUCCGAGGAGCAUGUCUGUUUGAGUGUCAUUAAUAUAUCAACCUUCUCUUUUUUGAGUUGUUUGGAUGUGGGGGUUUGCUGGCCUCUUAAAUGAUUCAGCUCCCCUGAAAUGCAUUAGCAGAACAACCUGUUCAUUAGCGUGAUAAUUAUCUAUGCUAUUGAAUGUGAGGGCAGUUCAGCUUUCUAACCGUCCUUGGACAAUUCAUCAUUAAUGUGACCUCAAAUCAGGUAGGACUACCCGCUGAACUUAAGCAUAUCAAUAAGCGGAGGA
rnacentral:misc_RNA from 1 species